rnacentral:sRNA from 1 species
GUUCGAUUCGAGCGCCAGCGAGAAAGCGUUGCCGCAGGCAACGACCCGAAGGGCGAAGCGCGCAGCGCUGAGUUAUCCUUCCCCCACCACCA